GCAUGGGAACCACACGAAGCACCUGUCAAUCAAUAAGGUCUGCCUGGUAGCCCGCCCACACUAUGUCCCCUGGAGCCUCUGAUUGGCUCCAGCACCCCUCACUCCAGCUAGGAGGGCACUGAGUGGUCAGUGAACCGGAUGUCCUGCCUGGGAGGAGUGGCCAGAGAGCCAAACCAUAUAAACAGAUGCACAGGACCUCCAUCUUGUUCAGCCCUCUCUCCUGGAAGCUGCCAACAUGUGACCUCUUAGUGAUGAAUGCUUCCACCUUCCUGACUCCCACAAUGGUAUGAUCCGGAAUGGAAUUUCCCAAUUAGAAUUGACAGUUAUAUCCUACAACUGGAUGCAUUUUUUCAUUAAAUACUUUUUUGUCAUCCUUUUUUUGCAAUAAUUAAGAUUUGUUGACUUUCUGGACAUGAUGCAAAGUUUGCAGUUUAGAAAGGAUUGCAAGAAAAAAGAAGCUGCCUAAA